rnacentral:rRNA from 1 species
UACAGAGGUCUCAAGCGUUGUUCGGAUUCAUUGGGCGUAAAGGGUGCGUAGGCGGCGCGGUAAGUCGGGUGCGAAUUUCGAGGCUUAACUUCGAAACUGCAUUCGAUACUGCCGUGCUUGAGGACUGGAGAGGAGACUGGAAUUUACGGUGUAGCGGUGAAAUGCGUAGAUAUCGUAAGGAAGACCAGUGGCGAAGGCGGGCUCUCGGUGACAGUUCCUGACGCUGAGGCGCUGA